GAAACUUUUUAUUAUAUUCCCACCGAUUAUUUUUCCUAUCAAAUAACUUGAAAAAAAAACAUUUGUUUCUCAGUUCAUUUGAAAUUGAAAGAGUCCUAAGCCUUAAAAUUACCAAGCCACGGAAGCCAAUAAUACACCCACGCGCAAACCCUUUCUCUUCGUUCUCCAUUACCAGCUCCAAUAAUCGACGACGCUAACGGCGACAGCAGCUCGACACACAGUGCUCUCUUCAACGGUGACAGCGCGGUGCUCUCCUCCACGGCGACGGCGCGGUGCUCUUCUCCAUGCAGGCUUCUCGAUGGCGACAGCGCGGUGCACUCCUCGUUCUGCGCCAAACCUCCACCGGUGAGAAACCCUUCUCCCUACUCUUCUUCUCUUUCUCCCUCUUCUUUUUUCUUGCAUCUUCCUAUUUGCGAAUCGGAGAUGUAAAAACCGUAGCCACCUCUGUUCCGCUAGCGAGCUUUGAUGCAUCACGGCGACCACCUCAACUGGUCUAUUGCUUUGGCAACACGAUGACCACCCCUCAGCUGCAACCUCAUCACCCCUGCCUUCUUGUUUUGUUCUUCAAUUUUCAGGGAGAUGCUGAUGUAAUAUGUAGUGGAGCUUGGAAAUUCUGGCCGCUGGAGCUUAUGGCUUGCGUCAAUUUUGACCGUGAGUGAUUUUAUGGGGUGCUAAGCCUUCUAAGGUAUUCUAAUAUUUUUGAGCUUAACAUUGGCUUAGAAUGAAGAUGUGGUAGAACAUUUCUUCUUCAGAAAUGGAACAAAUCGAUAAAGGUAUCAUUUCAGAAUGCUGUUGAUCAAGUUUGGUACCUUUUCCCAGAUCUGAAUCUCGAUUCUGUUGAGUUGGAUCAUCGCAAAGUUGUAAAGGAAGGUCAGUUGGUGGAACCUCACUCGGCAUAACCAUGAAUGAAUGAAUGUUAGAACUUUUCUUUUUUGUUUAUUAUGCUAAUGCUAAUUUUGUGCACUUGUUAUUGCUAUGUAUCUAUGUUAGUGCUGUAUUUUAAGAACUAAGAAAGACAAUGUUAGUGCUUCUCAUAACGUAAAUAGCUUUCGCAAUUCC